CUGCGAGAAGGCAUCUUUUUUCAGUUAAAGCUUCGGCGGUCAGAGAUGGGCAUGCGUAACAUUAGCUGGUUGGUGAGGUAACAGCUCACCAAGGCUACGAUGUUUAGGGGGUCUGAGAGGAUGGUCCCCCACACUGGUACUGAGACACGGACCAGACUCCUACGGGAGGCAGCAGUGAGGAAUAUUGGUCAAUGGGCGAAAGCCUGAACCAGCCAUGCCGCGUGAAGGAUGACGGCCCUAUGGGUUGUAAACUUCUUUUAUACGGGAAGAAACCCCUCUACGUGUAGGGGGCUGACGGUACCGUACGAAUAAGCAUCGGCUAACUCCGUGCCAGCAGCCGCGGUAAUACGGAGGAUGCAAGCGUUAUCCGGAUUUAUUGGGUUUAAAGGGUGCGUAGGCGGAAAAUUAAGUCAGUGGUGAAAUCCUGCAGCUUAACUGUAGAAUUGUCAUUGAUACUGGUUUUCUUGAAUACAGUUGAGGUAGGCGGAAUGAGUAAUGUAGCGGUGAAAUGCUUAGAUAUUACUCAGAACACCAAUUGCGAAGGCAGCUUACUAAACUGUGAUUGACGCUGAGGCACGAAAGCGUGGGGAGCGAACAGGAUUAGAUACCCUGGUAGUCCACGCCGUAAACGAUGAUCACUCGUUGUUGGCAAUACACCGUCAGCGACUGAGCGAAAGUAUUAAGUGAUCCACCUGGGGAGUACGAUUGCAAGAUUGAAACUCAAAGGAAUUGACGGGGGCCCGCACAAGCGGAGGAACAUGUGGUUUAAUUCGAUGAUACGCGAGGAACCUUACCUGGGCUUAAAUGCAUAACGACGGAUCGGGAAACUGGUCUUUCUUCGGACGGAAUGCAAGGUGCUGCAUGGCUGUCGUCAGCUCGUGCCGUGAGGUGUCGGGUUAAGUCCCAUAACGAGCGCAACCCUCAUCAUUAGUUGCCAGCGGGUAAUGCCGGGGACUCUAAUGAAACUGCCGGUGUAAACCGAGAGGAAGGCGAGGAUGACGUCAAGUCAGCACGGCCCUUAUGUCCAGGGCUACACACGUGUUACAAUGGUCAGUACAAAGGGCAGCUACCAGGCAACUGGAUGCUAAUCUCAAAAGCUGGUCACAGUUCGGAUCGGAGUCUGCAACUCGACUUCGUGAAGUUGGAUUCGCUAGUAAUCGCGCAUCAGCCAUGGCGCGGUGAAUACGUUCCCGGGCCUUGUACACACCGCCCGUCAAGCCAUGGA
rnacentral:rRNA from 1 species